AAAGGGAGACCUAAUUCAGGUAUAAGACGAAGAAAAAGUAGUCCCUACCAAGAAUCAAUCCCAAAAGGUCGGAACGAGGUAUGAGGCUUUCAAACUAGGUUCUGGGUUCAUAAAAGACCUGAAUCAGGAACAAGGGCUAUUAGCUCAGGUGGUUAGAGCGCACCCCUGAUAAGGGUGAGGUCCCUGGUUCGAGUCCAGGAUGGCCCACCUGCACAGGUGGCAAAAACAAGAGAAGCGAGGAAUCAGCACCUUAUCUUAUAUACAUAUAUAAGAGAGAAUGCUGGCUCUGAGUACAGAGUCCAGAGGAACCUUGAAAACUGCAUAGAGCUAGGUGAAAAAGCCAAAAAAGAAGACCGCAAG
rnacentral:tRNA from 1 species